rnacentral:rRNA from 1 species
UACGGAAGGCAGCAGUGGGGAAUAUUGCACAAUGGGCGCAAGCCUGAUGCAGCUAUGCCGCGUGUAUGAAGAAGGCCUUCGGGUUGUAAAGUACUUUCAGUCGUGAGGAAGGUGUUAAGGUUAAUAACCUUAGCAAUUGACGUUAGCGACAGAAGAAGCACCGGCUAACUCCGUGCCAGCAGCCGCGGUAAUACGGAGGGUGCGAGCGUUAAUCGGAAUUACUGGGCGUAAAGGGCACGCAGGCGGUUAAUUAAGUUGGAUGUGAAAUCCCCGGGCUUAACCUGGGAAUGGCAUUCAAGACUGGUUAGCUAGAGUCUUGUAGAGGGGGUAGAAUUCCAUGUGUAGCGGUGAAAUGCGUAGAGAUGUGGAGGAAUACCGGUGGCGAAGGCGGCCCCUGGACAAAGACUGACGCUCAUGUGCGAAAGCGUGGGGAGCAAACAGGGAUUAGAUACC